rnacentral:lncRNA from 1 species
GCUGAGAAUGAUGGUUUCCAGCUUCAUCCAUGUCCCUACAAAGGACAUGAACUCAUCCUUUUUUAUGGCUGCAUAGUAUUCCAAGGUGAAUAUGUGCCACAUUUUCUUAAUCUGGUCUAUCAUUGAUGGACAUUUGGGUUGGUUCCAAGUCUUUGCUGUUGUGAAUAGUGCCGCAAUAAACAUAUGUGUGCAUGUGUCUUUAUAGCAGCAUGAUUUAUAAUCCUUUGGGUAUAUGCCCAGUAAUGGGAUGGCAUUCUAGUUCUAGAUCACUGAGGAAUCGCCACACUGUCUUCCACAAUGGUUGAACUAGUUUACAGUCCCACCAACAGUGUACAAGUUGUUCCUAUUUCUCCACAUCCUCUCCAGCACCUGUUGUUUCCUGACUUUUUAAUGAUCGCCAUUCUAACUGGCUUGACAUGGUAUUUCAUUGUGGUUUUGAUUUGCAUUUCUCUGAUGGCCAGUGAUGAUGAGCAUUUUUUUCAUGUGUCUGUUGGCUGCAUAAAUGUUUUCUUUUGAGAAGUGUCUGUUCAUAUCCUUUGCCCAGUUUUUGAUGGGGUCGUUUGAUUUUUUCUUGUAAAUUUGUUUAAGUUCUUUGUAGAUUCUGGAUAUUAGCCCUUUGUCAGAUGAGUAGAUUAUAAAACUUUUCUCCCAUUCCGAGUUUUUUCCAAUUCUGUGAAAAAAGUCAUUGGUAGCUUGAUGGGGAUGGCAUUAAAUCUAUAAAUUACCUUGGGCAGUAUGGCCAUUUUCACAAUAUUGAUUCUUCCUAUCCCUGAGCAUGGAAUGUUCUUCCAUUUGUUUGCAUCCUCUUUUAUUUCCUUGAGCAGUGGUUUGUAGUUCUCCUUGAAGAGGUCCUUCACAUUCCUUGUAAGUUGGAUUCCUGGGUAUUUUAUUCUUUGAAGCAAUUGUGAAUGGGAGUUCACUCAUGAUUUGGCUCUCUGUUUGUCUCUGUUUGUUAUUGGUGUAUAGGAAUGCUUGUGAUUUUUGCACAUUGAUUUUGUAUCCUGAGACUUUGCUGAAGUUGCUUAUCAGCUUAAGGAGAUUUUGGGCUGAGACAAUGGGGUUUUCUAAAUAUACAAUCAUGUCAUCUGCAAACCAGUACAAUUUGACUUCCUCUUUUCCUAAUUGAAUACCCUUUAUUUCUUUCUCCUGCCUGAUUGCCCUGGCCAGAACUU